rnacentral:rRNA from 1 species
AGUGAACGCUGGCGGUAGGCCUAACACAUGCGAGUCGAACGGCAGCACAGUAAGAGCUUGCUCUUACGGGUGGCGAGUGGCGGACGGGUGAGGAAUACAUCGGAAUCUACUUUUUCGUGGGGGAUAACGUAGGGAAACUUACGCUAAUACCGCAUACGACCUACGGGUGAAAGCAGGGGAUCUUCGGACCUUGCGCGAUUGAAUGAGCCGAUGUCGGAUUAGCUAGUUAGCGGGGUAAAGGCCCACCAAGGCGACGAUCCGUAGCUGGUCUGAGAGGAUGAUCAGCCACACUGGAACUGAGACACGGUCCAGACUCCUACGGGAGGCAGCAGUGGGGAAUAUUGGACAAUGGGCGCAAGCCUGAUCCAGCCAUACCGCGUGGGUGAAGAAGGCCUUCGGGUUGUAAAGCCCUUUUGUUGGGAAAGAAAAGCAGCAGGUUAAUACCCCGCUGUUCUGACGGUACCCAAAGAAUAAGCACCGGCUAACUUCGUG